rnacentral:rRNA from 1 species
UUAUUUGAAACAGGAUACAACCUAUAACACCGGGUAAAUAAAGGAUACCUAAAUAAAGUGGGCCUAAAAGCAGCCACCUUUAAAAAAGCGUUACAGCUUAUUUAAUCUAUCUCCCUAAUUAAUCUAUUCCUCAUUAACCCUUCACCAGUAUUGAACUACUUUAUACUUCUAUAAAAGUCAUCAUGCUAGAACUAGUAACAAGAAUAUAAACUUCUCCAAAAUGUAAAUAUAAGCCAAAACGGAUCCCCCAUUGGCUCUUAACGUCAAUGCUUUUACUAUAGUAACAUGUAUCAAGAAAACUCUAUAAAUACAAACGUUAACCUUACACCAGAACAUUCCAGGAAAGAUUUAAAGAGAAAGAAGGAACUCGGCAAAUCUUAGCCCCGCCUGUUUACCAAAAACAUCGCCUCUUGCUCAACAUAAGAGGUCCAGCCUGCCCAGUGACAAAGUUUAACGGCCGCGGUACCCUAACCGUGCAAAGGUAGCAUAAUCACUUGUUCUUUAAAUAGGGACUCGUAUCAACGGCAUCACGAGGGUUAUACUGUCUCCUUUCUCCAAUCAGUGAAACUGAUCUCCCCGUGAAGAAGCGGGGAUUUAACU